CAAAUAAAAAACCAAAGCAUUUUCUCUCCCAGCCACCUUCUCCGACUCCCUCCAAAGAUUCGCCUCCUACCCACCUUACAGAUCCGUCGCCAACCCACCCUAACAUCGACCCAACCUCACUAAUUCGCCCUUCUCCGACCCACUCUCUCCUUCUCUCCCUCCGAUUCCUUUUCUCCUUAUCUGCUUGUUUGGCAAGAGGUAGAGAUUAGAAAGAGAGUUGUCAGGUUUGGCUUUGGGAAAAUUGGGAGAUCUGCUUUUCUUUUUAUUCGUCCUCUUGUCCGAGAGAGAGCCACAAAGGACGCCAAAGAUCAUAUCAAAACAAAAAAAACUUAACGAAUCUUACCGAUCACAGUAAGUUUAACUCUUCCUCUAUAAAUCACUUGCUUUUUCAAUCUCACUUUCUUUCUUUAAAAGUCUAUCACUUUCUUGGGAAAUCUCUUCCUUCACUCACUUUCUUAAUACGCGGAUAAAUUAAUUUGACUUGUUUGUGAAUCUUGAAGAAUCCCCAAUUCCUCUCUAACCAACCUUCCAACUUUCGGCUACUCUUUCUUGCUUUUCAUGUUGGUUUGAUUAUUUUGGUUACUGGGUUCUCAUAAUCACAUGCAUUUAUAAACUGAUUAAUGUUUGGUUAAAAGAUUGAUCUGCGGAAGCUAUUUUCUGAUAAUUUUUAGGUGUAGGCUGAUUCUUGAUUUUUUUUAUUAUUGUACAUUUUUGGAGGGUAUUUAACCAUCUGUUGUUGAAAUGGGUUGAUUUUGUAGGAGGAGAGGGAGGAAGAGAAGGAGAGAGUGGGUCGAGGAAGGGUGGAUCUGUAGGGGUUAGGUUGAUGUCGAGGAAGGUCGGCGGUGGAUCUGUGGGGUGGGUCGGAGAAGAUGACUGGGGCAGAGAAACUAGUUGACAAAAUGCUUUGUUUAAAAAAAAUAUUAGUUUAAAAAAAUAAUAUUAUGGUUGUAUUAUUUAUGGAUAUAUUAUUAUUUUAAUGACACAUCAGCACAAAAACGGAUUCC
rnacentral:lncRNA from 1 species